AUCACGAACUCGUCAAUUCCUCCCACAAUAAGGCCCUAUUUCGGUCAAGUGCCGGUCAUGAGCCCUUGGGAUAAAUCAACCGUUGCCUCAAGGCCCGGUCCGGUUCGAUCUCCGGAUUCCUCAGCCCCCCAGCCCCCCGGGGAUCUUCGGACCGGGCCGAUUGAGUUCAAGUUGAGUAGCGUUCGAUUCAAUCCCCUAUGCCUUCGGGCCGGCUAACGCCGGCCCGAUUUU
rnacentral:sRNA from 1 species